GACCUCGGUCCCGACUCCUCGGGAGGCACGCAGUGGGGGAAUUUGCACAAUGGGCGCAAGCCUGAUGCAGGCAUGCCGCGUGUGUGAAGAGGGCCUUCGGGUUGUAAAGCAUCCUUCAGUCGUGAGGGAAGGUAGUGUAGUUAAUAGCUGCAUUGUUUGGACGUUAGCGACAGAAGAAGCACUGGCUAACUCCGUGCCAGCAGCCGCGGUAAUACGGAGGGUGCGAGCGUUAAUCGGAAUUACUGGGCGUAAAGCGCAUGCAGGUGGUUAGUUAAGUCAGAUGUGAAAGCCCGGGGCUCAACCUCGGAACUGCAUUUGAAACUGGCUGACUAGAGUACUGUAGAGGGGGGUAGAAUUUCAGGUGUAGCGGUGAAAUGCGUAGAGAUCUGAAGGAAUACCGGUGGCGAAGGCGGCCCCCUGGACAGAUACUGACACUCAGAUGCGAAAGCGUGGGGAGCAAACAGGAUUAGAUACCCUGGUAGUCCACGCCGUAAACGAUGUCUACUUGGAGGUUGUGGCCUUGAGCCGUGGCUUUCGGAGCUAACGCGUUAAGUAGACCGCCUGGGGAGUACGGUCGCAAGAUUAAAACUCAAAUGAAUUGACGGGGGCCCGCACAAGCGGUGGAGCAUGUGGUUUAAUUCGAUGCAACGCGAAGAACCUUACCUACUCUUGACAUCCAGAGAACUUAGCAGAGAUGCUUUGGUGCCUUCGGGAACUCUGAGACAGGUGCUGCAUGGCUGUCGUCAGCUCGUGUUGUGAAAUGUUGGGUUAAGUCCCGCAACGAGCGCAACCCUUAUCCUUGUUUGCCAGCACUUCGGGUGGGAACUCCAGGGAGACUGCCGGUGAUAAACCGGAGGAAGGUGGGGACGACGUCAAGUCAUCAUGGCCCUUACGAGUAGGGCUACACACGUGCUACAAUGGCGCAUACAGAGGGCGGCCAACUUGCGAAAGUGAGCGAAUCCCAAAAAGUGCGUCGUAGUCCGGAUUGGAGUCUGCAACUCGACUCCAUGAAGUCGGAAUCGCUAGUAAUCGUGGAUCAGAAUGCCACGGUGAAUACGUUCCCGGGCCUUGUACACACCGCCCGUCACACCAUGGGAGUGGGCUGCAAAAGAAGUGCGUAGCUCACCUUCGGUCACCGCUCCCGCGUUACGGCUUACUCGA
rnacentral:rRNA from 1 species